UACAGAGGGUGCGAGCGUUAAUCGGAAUUACUGGGCGUAAAGCGCACGUAGUCGGCUUUGCAUGUCGGGUGUGAAAUCCCCGGGCUCAACCUGGGAACUGCAUCCGAGACUGCAUUGCUAGAGUAUGGGAGAGGGAAGCGGAAUUUCUGGUGUAGCGGUGAAAUGCAUUGAGAUCAGAAAGAACACCAACGGCGAAAGCACUCUGCUGGGCCGACACUGACACUGAGAGACGAAAGCUAGGGGAGCAAAUGGG
rnacentral:rRNA from 1 species